rnacentral:rRNA from 1 species
AAAGGUGAAAUUAGUUUGUUCCAAAUAAAAAAUAGACUCAAGUUGAAGCUAAAAAAUUUUAGACAAAAACUAGGAUUAGAUACCCUACUAUUCUAAAAUUUAAUUAUAAUAACCUGAUGAUUAAUAGAUAGUUUCUUAAAAUUUGAAGAAUUUGGCGGUAAUUUAGUCUUGUCAGAGGAACCUGUUCUUUAAUCGAUAAACCACGUAGAAUUUCACUUGAGUUUGUAUACCGUCAUUAUCAGAUAAUUUUUAGAGAAUAAAUUGUCGAUUUUUGAAUUAAAUUAAUAAAAAUUAGAUCAAGGUGCAGCUAAUAAGUAAGUUAGAAUGGGUUACAAUAAAUUUCAUUUAAUACGGAGUUAUACUUAUAAAGGAGGAUUUGAUUGUAUGUAGAUUUAAUAAGUCAUAAAGAUAUAAGCUCUAAAUUGUGUACAUAUCGCCCGUCGCUCUC